AUUUAUAUAGUUUAAUUUAAAACCUUACAUUUUCACUGUAAAAAUAAAAUUUUAUAUUUUUAUAAAUU
rnacentral:tRNA from 1 species